rnacentral:lncRNA from 1 species
CACAAAGCAUAAUUUCAAUUACAUUUUCAUUUUCAGCUUGGGAAGAGUUACUUCUGCUUGAAUCUCACCAAAACCUUUUCCCUAUACUAUACUUGGAGUUGUUGGAAUACUAUGGUAUUGCAUAUUCCUUAUAUUUUCAAACAAGGAAGGAAUAUAGUAAGAAAUUUUUUCAUUAGUGUUCUAGCUGAUUUGGCCAUUAUUUUAAAUAGGUGGUUGCUAUAUGAUUAUUCUUUUUUUCUAUUUGUCUGAUUGCUUUCUAGAAAGAAGUAAAAGUUAAAGCUAUUAAUAAUUUAUAACUAUUUAAAGUAGGGGCACUUAUUCGACAAUUAUUUUCCUUACUAGGAAAGGAAUGAUUGUAUUGUAUGAACUUUUGUAGUCUUCAUACUUUAGGUUGAUUCGUGAAUAUGCCAUUAAUUAUCAUUUAAAAGAUUAAUAUAAGGUUUAAGUGCUUUAUCAUUAUCAAUAUAAUUUCACUGCUAUGUGACUUAACCUCUAUAACGUAAAAUUAUCACUGGCUGGAUGUGCUAAGUUUGCGGUGAGGCUCCCGUUUACUAUGGGAAAAUGUGUAUAUAAUUGAAAGCACAAUCAUGAAGAGGAGAAAAGCAAUAGACAUGUCAGCUAAUUACAUGUUCUUAAAGAUGUGGGGGUGAUGAGGUGAGGUAAUCGAAAAAUGGCUUUCACUCCCAACCUCACAAAAUUUGCAUCGUAAGUGAAUUUUCCACUUUACUAAAGUGGUUCUAUUGACUAAGUCCACAAAUUAUGGCCUAUUCUUUAUUUGGACAAUAUCUUUUGUUUUCCUUUCUCACACUAUAAAUUUGUCUUGGACAGCUCAUCACAGAAGAAUUCCCCGUAGACCAACUUCUACCUUUCUUCACCCAAAAGCAAUCAAGACUUAGAUUAUGCCCCAUUUUGUGGUGUAUUUUCUAUGUUUGCCUUUAAAAAAAAGAAAGAAAAGGUUCUCCAAAACAUAGCUCAAGUGACAAAUAAAUCUCCCACUCGUGUAUUUAAAUAAUACUACUACUAAUAAUAAAACAAAUCUUCAAAAAUAAUGUAUUUAGAAUUUCAAUGGAAAUGAAAGUUUUACUUGAAAGUAGUGUUUCAAGCAUGAAUUUCACUUGGAUAAGAAUUUAACUUUUAAAAUUAGUUCUACCAGUAACAUGAAUUUCCAUGUUGUAUAUCCCAUCUUUUUCAACGUUCUAAAAAACUAAGUUGAAGUCUUGAAAACUAAGAAAAUUGUUUUUAAUUUUUAUUUUUUAGAAUUUAGUUAGGAAUUCAUGUGAAAAAUCAUAUUCGAUAAGUGAGAAGCAAGAUGCAACUUCAUAGGCAAACAGACAUGAAGUUCAAAAUACAAAAAAUUAAAGAUGAAAUAAUUAUCUGGUCUAAGUUCUAAAAUUUUGUAGGCAAAUACGAGUUUGUCUCUAUAUUUAGGGAUGUGGAGGUAGGAAAAUUUGUCCAAAAAAAAAUUGACAACAAUAUUUACACUUCAUUUAAAUAGUUUUUUUUUUUUUUUUCAAAAACCCCAAGAAAGUGGAUGGUGUUACAAAAAAGAGUUUAUUUCCAAUUUCGUAAUUUAUGUUGCAAAAUUUUGGAAAUAUUCCUAAAUUAGUACCAAAGUGUCCAAUUCUAUGUAAGGAAAAAUACACAGGCCAAAUGUAAGGAUAGGAACUUCAUUUAGGAGGGGGGGGGGGGGGGGGAGAAAAGACACAAUCUGGCCCACGCGGAAACAAAACAUCAUUGACUUUAUUUGUUUUAUUCACUAUCAUUAUUUAGAAAUUGUAAGCAAUUUUCAAAGAUAAUUCCAAAACAGUUCUUUCAUCCAACACCCAACAUACCCAUCCACAAAACCCUCUCUUUUGAUAAAUAUUCAUUCGUUAAAAUAGAAGUUUACCUUUCUUUUUUGUUCAGUAAGAGAUUAUUAACACACACUUGGGAGAAUUUUAACCUUUAAUUUUCUUUAUAAAUGUCUUUCAAAAGAAGAUUAGGUAAAGAAAAAAACGAGCGUCACAGUAAAACGCACAUUUCUAAUUCAAAACCACCAAAAUAAACAGCAGCAAGCAACUGCCCAAAGAAAACGACACAAUACUAAUAAUAAAAGGUUUAUUUAAAAAAAGAGAAAGAAAACAUUCCACUGAUACCACCAUAGGUUUAGACAAAAGCAUAUAUCUUCAUAUAUUGAUCUCCUCCUUUUUUUGAGGACCAAUUAUGGGUAUUAUGCGUAUGGUAGCACAUGACAAAUCACAAAAGAAACAUACCCAAUUUCCAUUUCCUAGCAAAGGCCACGAGUUCCUUAUUUUUCCUCUUAAAAAUUCAUUUUCCAUUUCAUUUCUUCUUACAGUCAUUGACAAACUGGUUUGAUUCUGCUAAUAAGUGAAUUCUCUUAUUCAUUUAAUACCCAUUUGAACAUCUUAAGAGAAUAAUGAAACAAAAUACUUCAAGCACAAAAACCGUUCAAAUUUUAAAAUUACUGGGUGAGAGCGCCACAAUGUGACUGACUUUGAGAGAAUAGUAUCUCGAAUUCAGAAUCAAUU